GGCGCAGUAGACAUAUCCGCUCGCUUCAAAAGGUAUAAAUACGGACGCCUUGUGCUCGCAAGGCCUUUUAGUGGGAGAUCUUCGCUCAGCUUUCCUGGUGUUUGCCUUCAGUCAAGAUUCUAAAUAACUUGAUUUGGAAAAGAAGAGGAGCCACCUCACCAUUUUGGCAGUUAACAAUGCUUUUUGGAUUCCUCUAAAGUGAUGGCUGUUUUUGGAGGAUAAGUAGCUGGCUGCCCUUUGGAGUAAAAGGAAAAUUAAAUGCAAAUUCUGUCAUUCCCAGAUCUGUAUUAACUG